UACAGAGGGGGGCAAGCGUUGUUCGGAAUUACUGGGCGUAAAGGGCGCGUAGGCGGCCCGCUAAGUCGAACGUGAAAUCCCCGAGCUCAACUCGGGAACUGCGUCCGAUACUGGAGGGCUUGAAUUCGGGAGAGGGAUGCAGAAUUCCAGGUGUAGCGGUGAAAUGCGUAGAUAUCUGGAGGAAUACCGGUGGCGAAGGCGGCAUCCUGGACCAACACUGACGCUGAGGAGCGAAAGCCAGGGGAGCAAACGGG
rnacentral:rRNA from 1 species